GACGAACGCUGGCGGCGUGCUUAACACAUGCAAGUCGAACGGAAAGGCCCUGCUUUUGUGGGGUGCUCGAGUGGUGAACGGGUGAGUAACACGUGAGUAACCUGCCCUUGACUUUGGGAUAACUUCAGGAAACUGGGGCUAAUACCGGAUAGGAGCUCCUGCUGCAUGGUGGGGGUUGGAAAGUUUCGGCGGUUGGGGAUGGACUCGCGGCUUAUCAGCUUGUUGGUGGGGUAGUGGCUUACCAAGGCUUUGACGGGUAGCCGGCCUGAGAGGGUGACCGGGCACAUUGGGACUGAGAUACGGCCCAGACUCAUACGGGAGGCAACAGGGGGGAAUAUUGCACAAUGGGCGGAAGCCUGAUGAAGCAACGCCGCGUGCGGGAUGACGGCCUUCGGGGUGUAAAACGCUUUCGCCUGUGACGAAGCGUGAGUGACGGUAAAGGGUAAAGAAGCACCGGCUAACUACGUG
rnacentral:rRNA from 1 species